UCGAGCGAGAGGGUUUUGAAGCUUGCUUUAGGACCCGGAAAGCGGCGAAAGGGAGAGUAACGAGUAGUUAUCUACCCCAAGGCCCGGAAUAGCUGCGGGAAACUGCAGGUAAUGCCGGAUAAUAUCCCCGGAUCAAAGGUGUGAUUCCGCCUUGGGAGGAGACUGCUUUGUACUAGCUUGUUGGUAGGGUAAUGGCCUACCAAGGCUACGAUGCAUAGCGGGCGUGAGAGCGUGGCCCGUCUCACUGGGACUGAAACACUGCCCAGACACCUACGGGUGGCUGCAGUCGAGAAUCUUCGGCAAUGGGCGAAAGCCUGACCGAGCGAUGCCGCGUGCGGGAUGAAGGCCCUCGGGUUGUAAACCGCUGUCGUAGAGGAGAAAGGUCUGAUGAAGAAUCAGAUUUGAUCUAUUCUAGGAGGAAGUCGGGGCUAAGUUCGUGCCAGCAGCCGCGGUAACACGAACCCGACAAACGUUAUUCGGAAUUAUUGGGCUUAAAGGGUGCGUAGGCGGUGCGGUAAGUGAGGUGUGAAAGCCCUCGGCUCAACCGAGGAAUUGCGCUUCAUACUGCCGUGCUGGAGGGAGACAGGGGUAAGCGGAACUGAUGGUGGGGCGGUGAAAUGCGUUGAUAUCAUCAGGAACACCGGUGGCGAAAGCGGCUUACUGGGUCUCUUCUGACGCUGAGGCACGAAAGCUAGGGUAGCGAACGGGAUUAGAUACCCCGGUAGUCCUAGCCGUAAACGAUGAGCACUUGGUUGAGGGCCCCCCAUAGGCUCUCGAUCGCAGCGAAAGUGUUAAGUGCUCCGCCUGGGGAGUAUGGUCGCAAGGCUGAAACUCAAAGGAAUUGA
rnacentral:rRNA from 1 species